UUAUAAAACCGAUCAAAGCCGUACGGAGUUUCCAGGAGGGUGGUUGCGUUACGCUCAGAACUUUCUUAAACGGACGGAAUCCUUUCGACUAAUAUACAUAUAUAUGAUUCGGUUCGCGCAACGGCGAAAGUAGAAAAAAAAUGACGGAACUUCGUGUGAUUUGACAGUGAAGAAACAUUUAAUGGGAAAAGUGCCUCGGUAUCCUGUGAUAUCCGGAUUUUGGCCAGCGGACCGACAUUGGUAAUCAGUGAACGGAAGGAAAGCUCGAGGCGUGGAACGCGAAAGGGUGAGAUAGGGGUGAACUGGUGGAGGGUGAGGCUGAAGUGAUGACGGGCGAGGAAGGAAAGUGCGGGGGUGGAACUGGCACUGGUGGGGAUGCCGGUGUUGGAAACACGAACACGAACCUUACCGAUAAUGUGAACAAUAUUAAUGCCAACGUACAUGCGAAUCUUAACGCCAACAUUAAUGUCAGCCAACAGAAUGGAGGACCGGAAAAAGCGCCUGUCGUCGGCGGUACCAACGUGGAAACGUUACCUCGCGCUGGUAAACAGAGCGAUCCCAGUACGGCGUUUCUCCGUGCGGCUCGUGCAGGGCAGCUGGAAAAGGUUUUGGAAUACCUGGAAUCGGGAGUGGACAUUAAUGCUUCAAAUGCUAAUGGAUUGAACGCUUUACAUCUGGCAGCUAAAGAUGGUCAUUUGGAAAUCGUCAGAGAACUUCUCAAACGUGGUGCAGUGGUCGAUGCUGCUACCAAAAAGGGAAAUACAGCAUUACAUAUCGCUUCUCUUGCUGGACAGGAGGAGGUGGUACAAUUGCUGGUACAACGAGGUGCUUCUGUGAAUGCACAGUCACAAAAUGGGUUCACACCGUUAUAUAUGGCUGCUCAGGAAAAUCAUGAUUCCGUAGUCAAAUUUCUCCUGAGCAAAGGUGCCAAUCAAACAUUGGCUACUGAGGAUGGUUUCACCCCAUUAGCAGUAGCAAUGCAACAGGGCCAUGAUAAGGUGGUAGCAGUUCUGUUGGAAAAUGACACUCGUGGUAAAGUUCGAUUGCCUGCUCUCCACAUUGCUGCCAAGAAAGACGAUUGCAAAGCGGCUGCCCUACUUUUACAAAACGAUCAUAAUCCCGAUGUAACAUCGAAGAGCGGUUUCACACCUCUCCAUAUAGCAGCACAUUAUGGUAACGAUCGAAUUGCAUCCUUGCUUUAUGAUAGAGGAGCAGAUGUAAAUUUCGCAGCUAAGCACAAUAUUACGCCGAUGCACGUAGCGGCAAAAUGGGGAAAAAUAAAAAUGGUGAAUCUUUUGAUGAGCAAGGGAGCAAAUAUCGAAGCGAAAACGAGAGACGGCCUUACACCCCUUCAUUGCGCGGCACGAUCUGGUCAUCACGAAGUUGUUGAUAUUUUAAUAGAGAAAGGUGCACCGAUCGGUUCCAAGACGAAGAAUGGUCUUGCACCGUUGCACAUGGCUUCUCAAGGAGAUCACGUUGACGCUGCGAGGAUAUUAUUGUAUCAUCGAGCACCCGUGGAUGAAGUGACGGUAGAUUACUUGACGGCGCUACACGUGGCAGCCCAUUGCGGACACGUACGAGUGGCUAAGCUCUUACUUGAUAGAAAUGCUGAUCCAAACGCACGAGCUCUAAACGGCUUUACUCCACUUCAUAUUGCCUGCAAAAAGAACAGACUGAAGGUCGUUGAGCUCCUCUUAAAGCACAAAGCUAGCAUCGAAGCCACUACAGAGUCUGGAUUGACGCCUCUACAUGUAGCAAGCUUCAUGGGGUGCAUGAACAUAGUGAUUUAUUUACUGCAACAUGCAGCUAGUCCCGAUAUACCGACAGUAAGGGGCGAAACGCCUUUGCAUUUAGCUGCGAGAGCGAAUCAGACUGAUAUUAUCAGGAUACUUCUUAGAAAUGGUGCCCAAGUUGAUGCCAGAGCAAGGGAAGAACAAACACCUCUUCACGUUGCUUCCCGAUUAGGCAACGUUGAUAUCGUAAUGUUAUUGCUUCAACACGGUGCCGAUGUAGAUGCUACGACUAAAGAUUUGUAUACACCGCUUCAUAUUGCCGCUAAAGAAGGUCAAGAAGAGGUUGCAUCCGUUUUAUUAGAAAACGGCGCAUCGCUUACCGCGACGACCAAAAAAGGAUUCACUCCUUUACAUUUGGCAGCUAAAUAUGGUAAUAUGAAUGUAGCAAGAUUACUAUUACAGAGGAAUGCACCAGUUGAUGCCCAAGGAAAGAAUGGCGUAACUCCACUUCACGUAGCAUCUCACUACGAUCAUCAAAAUGUAGCGUUACUUCUACUUGAUAAGGGUGCAUCACCUCAUGCCAUGGCUAAAAAUGGUCAUACCCCAUUACAUAUUGCAGCACGCAAGAAUCAGAUGGAUAUUGCAACUACUUUAUUGGAAUACGGAGCAAAAGCAAACGCGGAAUCAAAAGCAGGAUUUACGCCGCUACAUUUGAGUGCACAAGAAGGCCAUACUGAUAUGUCAACACUACUUAUUGAGCACAAAGCAGAUACAAAUCACAAAGCAAAGAAUGGUCUCACGCCGCUUCAUUUGUGCGCACAAGAAGACAAAGUCAAUGUUGCAUCUAUUCUUGUUAAAAAUGGUGCCCAGAUUGAUGCUAAGACAAAGGCUGGUUACACUCCAUUACAUGUGGCAGCUCAUUUUGGUCAAGCAGCUAUGGUACGAUUCCUUUUACGAUCUGACGCAGCUGUUGACAGCAGCACGAAUGCUGGAUAUACUCCAUUGCAUCAAGCUGCUCAACAAGGUCAUACAUUAGUGAUCAAUUUGUUGCUUGAGGGUAAAGCAAAACCGAAUACAAUUACUAAUAAUGGACAAACUGCUUUGGAUAUUGCACAAAAACUUGGUUACAUUAGUGUCAUCGAAACUUUGAAGGUAGUUACAGAAACUGUCAUUACAACGACUCAUACGGUUACUAUUGAAGAAAAAUACAGAGUGCAAGCUCCUGAAUCAAUGCAAGAAACAUUUAUGAGCGAUAGCGAAGAUGAAGGGGGUGGUGAUGAAAUCGGCAUGGCAGCCAUGAAUGUGUACGGGCAGCCUCCACACGCGCAACACGUGUACCUUCCUUCUUACUACCAGGGCCAAAUGACCUAUACCCGUGAAGAUCCGAUGCUCAGCGACCAACAGCAAUAUCGAUACAUGACUGUUGACGACAUGAAAUCUAUGGGGGAUGACUCGAUGCGUGUCAACGUGACGGACGACGAGAGGGAUAACCGGCAUUCCGGAGCGCCCACGAUAACCGAGAUGAUCACGAAGGAAACUUGUCAGCGUACAAAUGCCGCCAAUCUGAAACCGGACAAUGUCGAUAUCAAUAGGCACCCAGUACACGUCGGAUUUUGUUCUGAGAUCAGACCGUCCCUAGAGUCCUUAAACACAUCGCUGGCAGCUCUUGGUACCAUGUCGAAAGGACAAGGAAUGUGGAGGGACAGCUUCCUGGUUUCGUUUCUGGUGGAUGCACGAGGCGGUGCGAUGCGCGGCUGCAGGCACAGUGGCGUGCGCGUGAUCGUUCCUCCUAGGAAAGCAGCGAUGCCUAUGCGCGUCACGUGCAGAUACCUGAGAAGGGACAAAUUGACGAACCCGCCGCCUUUGAUGGAGGGGGAGGCUCUUGCGAGUCGUAUCCUGGAGUUGGGACCCGUGGGCGCCAAAUUUUUGGGACCCGUGAUCAUAGAAGUACCACACUUUGCUUCGUUGCGAGGAAAAGAACGAGAGAUAGUUAUACUCCGAUCAGAUAAUGGAGAGACUUGGCGCGAGCACACCUUGGAAGCCAGCGAGGAGGCCGUCCAAGAUGUGCUUAAUGAGAGCUUUGAAGGAGAAGAAUUAAGCCAGCUCGAGGAUCUCCAAACUUCUCGGAUCGUGAGGAUACUUACGGCAGACUUCCCACAUUACUUCGCAGUAGUGUCCCGUAUCAGGCAAGAGGUUCACGCAGUCGGUCCAGAAGGUGGCACCGUUUCUUCGUCGGCUGUACCUCAAGUCCAGGCCGUAUUCCCGCCAGCGGCACUUACUAAAAAGAUCAGAGUUGGGCUCCAGGCGCAUCCAAUACCGGCAGAUCUUGUCGCCAAGCUGCUUGGUAACAGAGUGGCUGUAUCGCCAAUCGUCACCGUCGAGCCGAGACGAAGAAAAUUCCACAAACCGAUAACCUUAACCAUACCCGUGCCUCAAGCGGCCAAUAAAGGCAUGAUCAAUCAAUAUUCAGGAGAUGCGCCGACGCUGAGACUUCUGUGCAGCAUAACUGGAUUGAGUCAUUUAGGGGGUCAGUCUCGGGCAGUCUGGGAGGAUGUCACCGGUUCGACGCCAUUGACGUUUGUGAAAGAUUGCGUUUCCUUUACUACCACGGUAUCCGCUCGCUUCUGGUUAAUGGAUUGUCGGAAUAUAUCCGAAGCCACGAAAAUGGCUACGGAGCUAUACACACACGCGACACACGUACCUUUUAUGGCUAAAUUUGUAGUAUUUGCAAAGCGAGUAGAUCCAUUGGAGGCGAGGUUGCGCGUGUUUUGUAUGACCGACGAUAAAGAGGACAAAACCUUGGAGAAUCAAGAGCACUUCACGGAAGUGGCGAAGAGCCGGGACGUGGAGGUGUUGGAGGGGAAAACGCAAUACAUGGAAUUUUCGGGUAACCUCGUGCCGGUAUUGAAGAGCGGGGAACAGCUGCAAUUGCCUUUCAGAGCUUUCAAGGAGAACCGAGUGCCGUUCACGGCGAGAAUAAAGGAUCCGGACGCGGCCGACAUGAUGGGCCGCAUAAUGUUCAUGAGCGAGCCAAAGGUUCCCAAAGGCGAAUUACCUCAGACCCCUAUAUGCACGUUGAACAUUUUGCUGCCGGAGAAAAUCUCGCCGGAGUCUGCCGUCUCCGAGAUCGAUUUGUUAGAACUCUCCAAGAAUUAUAGUUUUCUGCGCGACGGCGGGAUAAGUCGUCCGGACGCUAUUCACAGAGCCACCAUCCGAUUGACCGACAUUGCAAAUUUGUUGGACAAAGAUUGGGAGAAACUCGCGGAGGAAUUAAACGUGCCGCCGAACGAAGUGUCGACGAUCAAGCAAGAGUACGCCAACAAGCCGGCCCAACAAGCUGCGGCGAUGCUCAAAGUUUGGCAGAGCAAUGGAAAUAAAGCAACAGGAAACACUUUGGAGAAAGCGUUGAACAAAAUUGGCCGCGAUGACAUCGUGAAAAAAUGUAUAUUCAACGUUGAAUUGAUCACCGAUGACGUGGAGAAAGCUGUGGCGAGAGUUCGAUUGGAUCAACCUGGAUUUGAUUCUUUGAAAGAAGAAUUGGGUCCUUCAAGGGACACCUCUCUUCGCCGUGAUGCGACCAUGGAUCCAAAGAUGAAUCCUGAUUACGAUGACUUUAAUAAGAGCAAGGAGUCGGGAUCUAUGGAAGAACUCGAUAUAAGCGGCGCUAAACGAGAUAAAUCGAAACAGCAUGUCACGAUCACAAACGGCACUGUAUUCAACGGAACCUCGACCCCUAUCAAAGAUAAAUACGCGAGCGAGGAGAAAGAACUGGGGGAUGUAAUGGCCGAUUUUCUCGAGCACAAAUGUCACGUUAGCGAUACGAUGAGCAAAAAGUUGCGCGAUGAACUUGACGACAAAGAUAAAAAACGGCAGAGGGUGAUCGCAGACGCCAACAAAAUAGUAUCCGGUGUAAUAGCAGACGCAGAGAAAGCGAAGGGGAAGUUAGCUAAAGAAGGGUGGUCGGUGGUUUAUGAUGAUGAUGAUGAUGAUGAUGAUGAUGAUGAUGAUGAUGAUGAUGAUGAUACGCGAGACAAUAAAGAGGCAAGAGGUGCUAUAGUCGAAAGUUUUGUUAGGGAACAGUUGGUUAAGAGUAAGCCCAAGGACAAGGUCCUUGCAGCCGAGGAAACGAUUACGAUCGAUCGAACGCCAAUCGUCGAGCCGACGAUAGUUAAGCAGCGUGUCGUUCGCGAUGGGAAGGGAGACUCUAAUGCGAGGAUAGUCACGUCGAAAACUAUAGUUUCGGUGAUCGAGAGCGAUAAUAAGGGUGAUAAUCGGGAAGGAGAAAGGAUGAAAGAAACGGAUCGAACGUCGGCGGCCGCCACGGCGGACGCGGCGACGAUCCCCAAUGGUAAACAGAGAGUGAUAAGCAAGAAGGAGAUGAUGUCGAGGGAAGGUAAGGAAAUCGACGAGAAAUCGGUACCCGCUGGUAUCGUAACGCCGAAGAAAGAAGAGGAAAAGGAGAAGGAAGUCGAAGAAUCGAAAGAGACGGUUGCCGGCGUUAACAUUCCAAAGGAGGGGAGAGCGACGGGUGACAAGCAGGUGUCAUCCGCUUACGAGAGCGUCUACAGCGUGCAAUAUCCGUCGACGGACGAGAGGCAAGAGGACGAGUCGAAGAAGUCGAAGGACAAGAGCGGGGGUAUAUUGUCGGGGAUCUUCAAGGGGUCUAAACUGAAGAAGAGCAAGUCGAAAGGAUCGAAGGAAACGUCUUUCGACAGCGGCGACGAGGAAUCGAGAACAGUGGGUAAUGGCAAAGAGGGGCCGAAACCUACGUCUACUUUCGUCUCGUACGACGCGUACGCGGACAUGAAACCUGCCGAGCAAACCGCAACCGACAUUAAAUUGGCCACGAUGCAAUUCUUGGACGAAUCGAGACGCCUCGCUUCCGAGGUGCACGCGCUCGACAGCGGGUUGAUCGACUCGGCUCGAGUCGAGGAUAGGGAGGAGGCGGUCAAGGACGGGGAGGACACCAGCGAUCAGGAGAGGGAGAAAGGGGGCGGUUUCUUCGGCAUGUUCAAGAGUCCAAAGUCGAAGGAGAAGAGAGCGAAGAAGAGCAAGGAGUCGUCGUUGGACAGUGGCGACGAGGAGGGUAUUCGAAUCGCCACGGAGAGAUUGUUGGACGAUACGCGAAAGGUUGCCGAAACAACGAUCGUUGUUCCCGUGAUCGACGGGAAACAGGAUCUGUACACGUUCACCUCGCAGGUUCGUUACAACGAGGACACGCCGAAGGAUAAAUUGAACGGCCAUUCGUACGAUAUUUCGGAGAUUCGUAGGAAAGAGGAGGGGCGCAAGGAAGCUAAUGGAAAAUCGGACGCGGGGAGGAAGCGGAAGGAGGUUGGAAGUUUGGAAAGGCAAGGUGGCGAGAAAAAGUCAGACUCCCCGGAGAAAAGGGUGGAGAAGGAGGAGGAGGAAGAGGGUGGUAAGGAGAAGGGUGGCGGAUUCUUCGGCAUGUUCAAGAGCCCGAAGCUGAAGAGCAAGAAGAGGAGUUCGUCGAGGGAGAAGAGCUCUUCGAAGGAAGCGUCGUUCGACAGCGGGGACGAGGAGACGCGGCAGUUGACGGCAGAAUUUUUGGAGGAUACGAGGAAAGUGGCGGAGAGCAUGCACCGCGAAGGGUCGAGGCAGAUCGGCGAAAGGAUGACGCCGGCCGACGGGGCACCGGCCAUCAUCGAGGUGACCACGGAGCCCGUGGACAAGGACAGAGGAGGAGGAGGGAUCUUCGGGAAGUUCAAGAGUCCAAAAUUGACGAGGGCGUCGCGAAGCAGGUCCCGGGAAAAGAGCGGGCCGCCGCAAGAGGCGACGAGUCCCUCCUCCGAGAUCUUGGAGGAUGCGACGAGGAGCGCGGCGUUGGACGCGAGGGAAAGAGUAGAGGACGCGACGACGGAAGCGACGGAUGCGAGUGACAAAGGCUCGAAGGAAGGUAGAAAGGUUAAAGAGAAGAGCGGCGGCUUCCUGUCCGGAUUGUUCAAGGGGGCGAAGCACGCCGCGGACGAGGCUUCGGAGGAGGUGAAGGAGGCGGUCGGCGAGGGCAGAGAUCGCGCGAGAGAAGCGGUGGAAGGGAAAUCGAAAGACGCGGACGCGGCGAGGGACAAGGCUGCGUCGGAAGCGAGGGAUGGAAAGGAGAAGGCGAUCGCUAUUCUCAAGGACAGCAAAGACGCGAUCGGUGGAAAGGCGUCGGAUGCCGGUAAAAUUGCCGGAGAGAAAGUGGCGGAUGCUGCGAAACGGGUCGAGGAGAAGGUGGUCGACGGCGUGAAAAUUGGAAAGGACGAAAUAAAGAAGAUCGAGAUAGACGUUAAAGGUGUCGCGGUGACAGGCGUAAACGGAAUCGAGGAUAAAAUUGGAGAGAAGCUGGGCGAGGGUGGGCGGAAGGUGGCCGAUACAGGAAGAGCAGUCGCGGACAAAGUAACCGAGGGGAUAAAGGACGCGGAGUCGGGCGGGCGAAGCGUGACCGAGGGCGCGAAAGCGACCAAGGACAAGAUGGUUAAAGAGGUUAAGGAGGACAUCGAACUGGCGAGGCAGAAGACACCUUGGAGUGGAGUAGACUCGGCAGAAGGCGCGAAAGAGAGGGCCGCGAAGGAAGGCAAAAAGGGGAAGGAGAAGAGCGGCGGAUUCCUCUCGGGACUGUUCAGAAGCGCGAAACACGCGGCGGACGAAGUUUCCCAGGAGGUGAGGGAAUUCGUGGAGGAGACGAGGAAGGAGGCUGGCGAGGAGGAGGCUCGCGCUCGCGCGGCAGCGGCGGAGAAGUCGAAGGAAUUGGACGAAGCUAAAGAGAAACUGGUGAAAGACGGGAAGGAAUGGGGCACGGCGAAAGUGUCGGACGUCGAGAAAACCGUUGGCGAGAGGGUAAGCGACGUCGAGAAAAAGGUGGACGCUGCGAUUCGUGAUGCGGCCGAGGCCAAGGACGAAGCGAUCGCGAAGCUCGCAACGAGCGCAAAGGACGUCGGCGAUAAAGUCGCGGAGGGGGCGAAGGACGCCGAGGCGAGAGUGGAAGCAGCGAGCGACGGCGUUAAGGCGGCCAAGGAUAAAGUGUCCAAGGAGAUGAGGGAAGAGGGCGAAGCGAUGAGGCAGAGGAUAGCGUCUGGGAUAGACUCGGGCGUGGAUGGCGCGGCAGCGGCGAGAGACAGGGCUGCGAAGGAAGCGAGGAAAGCUAAGGAAAAGGCCGGCGGUUUCUUGUCCGGAUUGUUCAAGGGUGCGAAGCACGGCGCGGAUGAAAUUUCCGAAGACGCGAAAGAGUUGGUGGACGAAACGAGAAAGGAAGCGGUGCAAGAGGAGGGUCGGAUUCGUGACCAGGUAACGGAAAAGUGGAAGGAAAUCGAUGCGACGAGAGACAAGGUUAAAGCCGUUGCGAUCGACGUCGAGGACAAGGUCGGCGAGAAGGUAUCGGGUAUCGCGGAAAAAGUUGGAGACGCGGGUAAAGCUGUGGUCGAGAAAACGAUACCGGACGAUGCCGUGGAACGAGGCGCGACGAUCGACGGCACGAGGAUAAUCGACGCAGCCAAGGAUAAGAUAGCGGAUGUAAAAGCGGUCGAAAACGAAGCCGCAUCCGUUGCGAAGGACAAGAUCUCCGACGGUGCUCGGAUGACGGCGGACGUUGGAAAAGCGGUUGGAGAGAGGAUCGCGGACGGUGCGGAGAGGACGAGAGACGCGGCGCAAGCGGGCGUGCGUGAAGCGGUGGACGCGGCGAAGGCGGCAAAGGAGAAAGUGGCGAAGGAGAUUCGAGACGACGCGGAUGCCGCGAAACGGAAAAUCUCGUCCGGCGUAGGGGCAGUGGUGGACGGGGCGGGCGGAGCGAAGGACAAGGCGGCGAGAGAGGCCAAGAGAGCUAAGGAGAAGGCGGGCGGAUUCCUCUCGGGACUGUUCAAGGGCGCGAAGAACGCCGCGGACGAAGUUUCGGAGGACGUGAAAGAAUUCCUCGAGGAGACGAGGAGGGAGGCGUCGGAAGAGAAGAGUCGCGUACGAGAUGCGGUCGACGAGAAGUGGAAGGAGGGCAAGGAGGAGGCUGAGGACACUGUCAAAGGCGCUGAAGACGCGUUGCUCGCGAAAGUAUCCGACGCCGAGGGCAAGGUUGUCGAGAAGACGGCCGACGGAGUGAAGCGGAUCGAGGGAAAAGCGGAGAGUAUCGCUCGAACGAUCGACGGUGCGAAGGACGAGGCGGAAAAAGUUGCAAAAGAGACGAAGGACAAGGUGGCCGACGGCGUGGACGCGGUCGUGGACGCGGCUGCUAAGGACAAGAUCUCGAAAGAGGCCAGGAAAGGUAAAGAGAAGACGGGUGGUUUCCUCUCGGGGCUUUUCAAGAGCGCGAAGCACGCGGCGGACGAAGCCUCGGAGGAGGCGAGAGGUUUGGUGGACGAGACGUGGAAGGAAGCGGGUGCAGCGAAGGAAAGAGCAGCGGCGGACGCGAGGGACGCGAAGGAGAAAGUUGCGAGCGCCGCGAGAGACGCGAGAGACAGAGUUGGGGAAGCGGCGGCGGAUGGCGGGCGGAAGGUGUCCGAGGUUGGGAAAACUGCGAUCGAGAAAGCGGAGGAGGGAGCGAAACGGGCUGAGCGAAGAGUGGACGCCGUCGCGAAAGACGCGAGCGAGGCUGCGAAAGCGGCGAAGGACAAAGUGGUCGCCGACACUUUGGCCGCCAAGGAUAGGAUGGCGGCGACGGCGAAGGAAACGAGGGACGAGAUCGGCGAGAAGGUGGCUGAAAGCGUCGGAAAGGUAUCGGACGCUGGAAGAGCCGUGGGGGAAGAGGUUACGGAUGGCGCGAAGAGAGCCGUGGACAAAGCUGGGGAGAUCGUCCGCGACGCGAGCAGCGGUGUCGAGGCGACGAAGGAGAAAGUGGCGCGGGAGAUUAGGGAGGAUGCCGAGGCUGCGAAACGGAAGGUGUCGUCCGGCGUGGACGCCGUUGUGGACGGCGGCGCUGCGGCGAAGGACAAGAUCGAGAAGGAGGCCAAGCGGGCGAAGGAGAAGGGUAGCGGCUUCCUUUCCGGUUUGUUCAAGGGAACGAAGCACGCGGCGGACGAGGUCGCGGACGACGUGAAGGAAUUUCUGGAAGAAGCGAAGAGGGAAUCGUCGGAGGAGAAGACGCGCGUUUACGAGGCGAUGGAGAAGAGGAUAGAGGACACGGCCGCGGCGAAGGACAGAGCGAUUAUCGAAGCGAAGGAAACGAAGGAUAAAAUUGCGAGUUCCGUGAGGGACGGCUUGGAGAAAGUGUCGGAUGUUGGCCGAGUCGUCGGUGAAAAGUUGGAGGAUGGCGCGAAACGGGGCGGAGAAAGAAUAGAAUCUACGGCUCGAGAAGCGGUUACGGGCGCGAGGGAUGCCAAGGAGAAACUCGGCGAGAAAAUGGCGGAAGUCGGCAAGAAGGUGGACGAAGGGAUCGCGAGCGGCGCGAAGGCGAUCGGGGACGAAACGAGAGCGGCGAAAGACAGGGCGGAGAAAGAGGCGAAGGAGGAUAUGGCCGCCGCGAGGCAAAAGAUCUCGUCGGGCGUGGACGCGGCGAUGGAUAGCGCGGACGCGGCAAAGGAGAAGAUUGCGAGGGAAGCGAAGAAGGGUAAAGAGAAGGGCGGAGGUUUCCUCUCGGGCCUGUUCAGAGGCGCGAAACACGCCGCGGAAGAGGUUUCGGAAGGGGUGGAAGAUUUGGUGGACGAAACGAAGAGGGUAGCGGGCGAAGAGGAGGCUCGUGCUCGCCAGGCGGUGGAAAAAGCUGGUAAAGACGUCGAGGCGGCGAGGGAGAAAGCGGUUGCGGAGGCGAAAGACGCGAGAGAUAAGACGGCGAUCUCGAUGAAACGCGGCAAGGACAAGGUGGGCGAGAAAGCGUCCGAGAGCAUGAAAACCGUAGCGGCGGUUGGCAAGAUGGUCGUCGAUGAAGCGACGAAACGAGCCGAAGCUGUUGUUGGAGAAGCGGCGGACGGCGUCGAAGCAACGAAGGAGAAAUUAGCCGCGGAUGCGAAGGACGCGAAGGACAAACUCGCGGAUAAAGCGGCGGACACUGUGCGAGCGAUUGGGGAGAAAGUUAAAGCGGAGGAGGUUGGUCGAGGAUCGGGCGAUGGAGCGAAAGAGAGGGCGAGCGAAGAGGACGUCGAUGGCGCGAUAUCGGCGAAGGAGAGAGCCGGCAAGGAGGGCAAAAGGGCUAAGGAGAAAGGUGGCGGCUUCCUUUCGGGAUUGUUCAAAGCCGCGAAACAGUCGACGGAGGAGAUUUCGGACGAUGCGAAGGACUUCCUCGAAGAGGCGAGGAGGGAGGCGUCGGAGGAGAGCGGUCGUCUGCGCGACGCGGCCGACGAGAAGUGGAAGGGCGCGAAGGCGGCGAAGGACGAGGCGAUCGAGGGCGCGAAAGACAAAGUCGUCGCCUCGGUGAAACGCAGCGAGGACGCGAUCGGUGGAAAGGUGUCGGACGUCGCGCGGCAAGCGACGGACGUUGGAAAGAGCGUCGGCGACGAAGCGAGACGCGCGGCGGAAAUAACGGAAACGAGGAUCCGAGAGAUGGGCGACGGUGCGAAAGCGACCAAGGACAAAGUGGCCGCGGACCUCGAGCGCGUUAAGGCUGGAGCGGCGACAACCGCCGAGGACGCGAUGGCAACGAUCGGCGAGAAAGCGCGCGAAGGCGGCAAAGCCGCGAUGGAAGGUGCGAGGAGGGCCGAGGAUAAAGCGGCGAGGGAAAUGGAAGCUGGAAAAGAGAGAAUUUCUUCGGAGAUGGAUAAAGCUGCGGAGAGCGUAGCGGCGGCGAAGGACAAACUGGCGAAGGAGGGUAAGAAAGGAAAGGAAAAGGGCAGCGGAUUCCUUUCCGGACUGUUGAAGAGCGUGAAGCAGGCGGCGGACGAGGUAUCGGAGGACGUGAGAGAAUUCGUGGGCGAGAAGAAGAGAGAGGCCGUUGAGGAAGAGGCGCGUGCUCGCGAAGCAGCGUCCGGAAAACUUAAAGAUCUCGGUGCGGCGAAGGAUAAAGCGGUCGGUGAGGCGAAAGAGGCGAGGGAUAAAGUUAAGGACGCGGUGAAGGAUGGGAAGGAGAAAGUGGAGGAGAAGGCGUCCGACAUCGCGCGACGAGUGACGGAUGCUGGCGAAGCGUUGGGCGGCAAAGUUUCGAGCGGCGCGAAGGACGCCGAGGCGAAAGCGGAGGCGGCCGUGAAAGAUUUGGCGGAGGCGAGGGACGAGGCAACAGCCGGCGCGAAAGACGCGGUGGAUAGAGGCGCGUCUCUGGUGAAGGGCGCCGAAGAGAGGAUCGGCGAGGCCGUGUCCGAUACCGCGCGGAAGGUGACGGAUGGCGGGAAAGCGGUUGGAGAAAGGAUCGCGGACGGCGCGAGGAAGGCGGAGGAAAAGAUAUCCGGUGGCGCCAAAGCGGCCAAGGACGCGGUGGUGAAAGAAGUGAAGGAGGACGCCGAAGCGGCGAAGGAGAAAGCGGCGGCGGCGAUAGACGCGGUUACGGACGGGGCAACGUCCGCCAAGGACAAGGCUGGGAGAGAAGCUAAGAAAGCGAAAGAGAAGAGCGUCGGCUUCCUUUCGGGUCUGUUCAAGGGAGCGAAGCACGCUGCUGACGAGGCGUCGGGAGACGCGAAGGAAUUCCUCGAGGAAACGAGGAGGGAAGCGACGGAGGAGAAGAGCCGGUUGCGCGAAGCGGUGGAAGGGAAGGUGAAGGACGCGGAAGCGGCCAAGGACGGAGCCGUGGCGGACGCGAAGGACGCGACGCGAAAAAUUGUGGGAAUCGCGAAGGACGCCGGAGACAAAGCGGCUGGAAAAAUAUCCGAGGGUGUGGAGAGAACGACGGACGCCGGCAGAGCUGCUGGCGAAAAAAUCGUGGACGGCGCGAAGCUCGUGCAGGCGAAGACGAAAGAGGCAGCAGAUGCCGCAAAGGACAAGCUGGUUUCGGAUACGAGAGAAAUUGGUGAGAGGAUCGAGUCUGCGGCGAGAGACGGCAAAGAUCGAGUCGGCAAAAAAGUGAAAAUGGCCGAGGACGAGACGGUGGCCGUCGCUCGGGAUAUAGCCGACGUUGCCAAAACGACAAAGGACAAAGUCGCGAAGGGGGCGAAGGAGGGCGUCGACGUCGCGAAGGAGAAAGUGUCGUCCGGCGUCGAAUCGGUGGUGGACGGUGCGUCGAGUACGAAGGAAACGAUCUCGAAGGAAGCGAAGAAGGCUAAGGAGAAGGGCGGCGGUUUUCUUUCCGGCCUGUUCAAAGGCGUGAAACACGCGGCGGACGAAAUUUCGGAAGACGGGAAACACUUGGUCGACGAAGCGAGGAAAGAAACCGCGGAAGCGGGCGAGAAAUUAGGAAAGGGCGUCGACGCGACGCGGGACAAAGGAAUCGCAAUCGCGAAAGACGCGAAGGAUAAAGUCAGCAACAAAGUGUCGGAAGGUGUGCAAAAAGUAUCCGACGUCGGCAAAGCUGUUGGCGAAAGAGCGACGGAUGGCGCGAAAGAAAUCGGCACGGGGAUGGAAGCCGGUGCGAGACGAAUGGGAGACGCUGCGAAAGCGACGAAAGAUAAAGUGGCGGCUGGUGUGAAGGAUUGCAAGGACGAAGCGAUCGCCUCUGCGAGGGAUGCCAGGGAUAAACUCGCGGAGAGAGUAGCGGAGGGCGGCGAAGCGAUUGGGGAAAAAGUGGCGGCUGGCGCGGAGAGAGUGGAAGCGGCCGUUCGAAAAGCGGCGGACGAGGCGAAAGAGACGAAGGAAAAAGUACGCAAAGAAAUUGGAGACGAUGUCGAAAGCGUGAAGCGGGAAGUUUCCUCGGGGGCUGGUGCACUGGUCGAGGGUGCAACUUCUGCGAAGGACAAAGCGACGAAGGAGGCUAAGAAGGCUAAGGAGAAGGGUAGCGGCUUCCUUACAGGCUUGUUCAAGGGCGCGAAACAGGCGGCCGACGACGUUUCCGACGAGGUGAAAGAAUUCCUGGACGUGACUAGGAGAGAGGCAGCCGAGGAAGAAGCUCGAGCCCGCGAGGCGAGGGACAAGGCAGCUGCGGACAUCGAAAAAGCAGUAGGCGAAAAGGCGUCGGAGGUUGGCAAAGCGGUUGGCGAGGGAGUGAAACGAGUCGAGGAGCGGACAGACGCUGCGAUUCGUGACACGGUUGAUAUCGCGAAAGCGACGAAAGAUAAAUUGAUAACGACAGACGCCAAGGAUAAAGCUGCGUCUGUGGUGAGAGACGCGAAGGAUAAGGUUAAGGAGAAGGGAAGCGAAGGUGGAGAGAAAAUAUCAGAAGCGGUUAAACGAGCGGGAGAGAAAGUUGAGGACGAAAAUGCAAAAGCGGCGAAGGAGGCAGAGAAAGUGGGAACGGAGAUUAAGAAAGAUGUGGACGCUGCCUCAUCGGCGAAAGAUAAAGCGGCGAGGGACGCUAAAAAAGGGAAGGAAAAGGGCAGCGGUUUCUUUUCCGGGUUAUUAAAGAGCGCGAAGCAUGCCGUGGACGAAGUGUCGGAGGAGGUGAAGGAGUUCGUCGACGAAACGAAGAAAGAGGCCACGAAGGAGGAGGCGCGGGCGCGCGAAGCGUUGGCGAGGAAAGCGGAUGCGGCGAAGGAUAAGGCCGGUGCUGAGUGGAACGAUGCGAAAGACAAGGCGAGGACAAGCGUGAGAGACGCGACGGACGCAGUCGGAGGAAAGAUAACCGAGGGGGUGCAAAAGGUGUCAGACACUGGGAAAAUCGUGAGCGGAAAAAUCGUGGAAGGAGCGAAAGGAGUGGAGGCGAGAACCGAAGCGGUUGCUCGAGAUGCCGUUGAAAGUGGUAAAGCUGCCAAGGACAAAGCAGUCUUCGAAGCGAAAGUUGUUAAGGACGCGCUCGCGACAUCCGCCAAAGAUGCUAAAGAGGGUAUCGGUGAGAAAAUAUCGGAAGGCGUGGAGAAAGUGUCGGACGCUGGUUCACUUGUAUCCGCCAAAUUGGCGGAGGGAGCGAAGCGAAUCGGCGGUGGAGAAACGGAAUCGGUCGCGAGAACGACGAAGGACCCUCUAUCGGAGGGAAUCAAAGGCGACGCUGCGAGGGAGAAAGCGAUGGACGAUGGCGGCGAGGCGAGAGACAAAGCCUCGAAGGAAGGUAAAAAGGGGAAGGAGAAGAGUGGCGGUUUUCUGUCGGGGUUGAUCAAAGGCGUGAAACACGCGGCGGACGAGGUAUCGGGCGAGGUUAAGGAAUUCUUCGACGAGACGAAGAAGGAAGCUGUGGAGGAGGAGGCGCGCGCUCGCCGAGCAUUGGUCGCUAAAGCGAAAGAGGCGGAGGCGGUUAAGGAGGAGAUCGCGACUGGCGCGAAAGACGCCAAGGAGAAGAUCGGUGAGAGAGUAACCGGUGGCGUGCAGAAGGUGUCGGAUAAACUCGUGGAUGGAGCGAAGAUGGUGGAGAUAAAAACGGAAACUCGAGCGCGAGAAAUCGCCGAGUGCGUUGAAGCAACGAGGGACAAAGUGAUCGCGGAUGCGAAAGAUGGCGGCGAGAAAGUUGCAACUGCGGCGAAGGAUACGAAGGAGAAGAUCGGUGAGAAGGUGUCGGGUACCGCGCACGCGGUGUCGGAAGUUGGAAAAGCUGUAGGCGCUAAAAUUACCGACGGGAUAAAGAAAACGGAGGCGAAAGUGGGAACAAUCGGUCAGGAAGCGAGCGAUGGAGCGAAAGCGACGAGGGAUAAAUUGGUGAAGGAAGUGAAAGAAGACAGCUCGAUCGUGAAAGAGAAAAUCUCGUCUGGGGUGGAUACCGCGAUGGAUGGCGCGAAAGCAGCGAAGGAUAAAGCUUGGAAGGAGGGUAAGAAGGCGAAGGAGAAAAGCGGUGGUUUCUUGUCCGGUUUGAUCAAAGGCGCGAAACACGCGGCCGAUGAAAUAUCCGAGGAUGUCAAAGAUUUCGUGGACGAGACGAAGAAAGAGGCAAUGGAGGAAGAGGCUCGCGGCCGCGUGGCGGCGUCCGAAAAAUCGAAACAAGUCGAGAUCGCCGCGGAAAGUGGGAAAAGCGGGAAAAGCGGGAAAGGCAAGGUUAAAAGUGCGCAGAGAGCGUCGGAUUCGGGUAAGGCUGGGAGCGAGAGAGACGCCGGAAGAAUUUUUGGAGAGAAAUUGUCGAAUCAAGCAGGGCAGAGAUUCAUCGCGGUUAGCAGCGACCCUAAAAGCGCCGUGGCCGAGUUUCUGGAAGAAAUGAAACGCGACUCCGCGUGGGACAAGGUGCACUUCCAACACGAGCCGGACGUCCACUUGUACGAAAACGUGGACACGAUGUUCGUGAAAGAGAGGAAAGAGGAGGGUGAAUCGAGAGAGGGUGGAGCGGGGAAACACGAGAAAGAGUCAAAAAAAUCGGCGACGAAAGUUGCUUAUUCGGUUUUCGAUCCACUUUCUGAGCUAGAUUCCGAGGCACGGGUCAGGCUGUCCGAAAGAGAGAUCGAGGACAGCGAUGGUGGCGGGGAAUCGAUGUUCAAGAAAGUAUCUCGCAUUCCACAAAGAGUUAGUUCCUCGACGGAACGGGUUAGCCCUAGUAGUUCGUCGGAUAGUAGUAGUUCGACAGUUAGGAUAUUAAAUGUAUUUAGAAACGUAGAGCACCUCGAGCCUCGCACACGACAAACCGUCACCACAGUCGUAACAAAGUCUGUGCGGACGGCAACGACCCCACCACCCAGUCCCGCCGAGUACACUGACAGUAGAAUUGAAGACGUAACCGAAGAGGCGGCAAGACGAGCCCAGGAUCUAGCCGAUCAAGCACAAUCAUUGGCGAAAUCAGGGCAUGAUUCGGCUGAGAUUGAUGGGACUCGUGUAGAGAGGCAUGCUACUUCUGCUCCAACAAAGCAACCUGUUCCCGCCCCGCGACACUCUACCAGGUCGUCCAUCAAAACAGACUUUCAUCUAGACUUGGCAGAUACCCCGUACAGUCCGAAAACAAGUAAACCGAGGGACGAGGAAUCGAGACCGGUGCAAGGGCACCAUUUCUCCCCGGAUAAGAACAGUCCGACGAGUAAGAUACCGGUGAGGGUAAAGAAAUCUGCGGAGAACGGGAGGGGGAGCAAAAUCGAGUUUGACGAUCAACGAUCGUUGGAUUUCGCCACGACGAGGGAGAAUGGCGGCGACGAGGACGGCGAGUUCUCGCUCGGCGAGAAAGAGGCGCGGCAACCCGAGGAGGACAAGGAGAGAAGCGACUCCUCCCUGAAAUCCGAGCCGUCGAACGAGACCCACGAGACGGCAACCAUAAUAGAGGAGACGUGCUGUUCCGCGCUUCCAAUUGACGAACACGAGCUCGUAAAGAGGACGGAAACCGCGGUGAUCGGAGGGGAAACGAGGGAUCGUUCGUCGUUCGACGAAUCGACUAGAGAGAUCUCGAGCCGCGUGGACAAGUGGCCGAUCGAUUCGAAGCCGAUCGACGAGAGAGGGAAGACGAGAGAGGAGGUGGUGAGAACGGUGGUGACUACCGUACGAUGCGCCACGACCGUGGAAUCUUACGUGAUGGAUCGAAGCGAGAGAAUGGCGGGAAGAUUGGAGCGUGGGAACGGCGUGGAUUACGAUGUCGAGCAGGCGUCCGGUAAUAUGAUAAAAAGCGACACAGAGUUGUCCGAGCCGUGGGCCCAGGCCAGCCUGUCGGAUCGUUCGUUCCCGAACGACGAGAAGGUAGAGCAAUGGGAGAGCCAGCUCUCCCAAGACACGUCGCCCGGCUCCGGUAACGGUGACAUUUAUACUAAGAACGGUAGCUCACGGCAUGAUUUGAACAGCGACACUGAUAGUGACGGUUCACCAAGAUCGAGGAGAAGAUCUCCGAGCAAGAGGUGUACAUUGGGCAGUUCCAGCGGGUCUGAUGUAGCACUGCACGAAGGUGCGGAGCUGUCCCCGUUGGAGGACGACCAAGGUACCGCACUCACAGCUAACCUUCUAACGACAGAAACAGACGGUUCGAUACGAUCAAUUUGUUCGAGCGCAAGGCGAGGUACAGUAGAGGGAACGCCUAGGACCAAGACUCCUCCCGGUAGAUCAAGCUGCGCAUAUUGGAUGAGCGUGGCUGCCGCUACAUUGGUGAUUCUACUAGCAAUAUUAGUUGCCUUGGAGCCACGAACGUUCCAACGUGCCAUCUACAUCCUCUCUUACAAUAUCCCGAGGCAAGCCGGAAUCUGACUUUUUGCAACUUAGCGAGCCAUCCUACAUGGAAACGACAACGACAGAAGAGGACCCUGAAACUCAGGAAAGAAUAACGAGAACUGUUCAAGUAAUUACAACAACGAGCGGAACCGCCAGUGGUCCAGACGAAUUGCGAGAGUCCAUGCAAAAGAUCGUCGAUAGAUUCAUGAUGGAGGAAAGGCGAGAUCAGUGAAGCAUGAAGGUCUCAUGGGCGAUUAUAAAAAUAGAGAGAAUUGAAUUCUUCGCCAUUUAAUAAUCGUGCAUAAUAGAGAGAGAGAGAGAGAGAGAGAGAGAGAGAGAGAGAGAGAGAGAGAGAGAGAGAAGAAAAAACGUUUAAAUAUAAAUUCUCUAGUACUAUAAUUGAAUGGAAGCAUCUAUCUAAUUUGGCGUAUCCUCGAACGUCAAAUGAGAUUAUCUUUUAGAAAAUUAAAGCAGGAGUAUAGAAAAAAAAAAAAAAGAAAAAAAAAGAAUCUUUCGAUAUAGAUCUUGCUCGCAUCUAUGUCAUGAUAAUAAUCGCGGAUUAUUCUCGCAGUGCUUCGUGAAAAUACAUGAAAAAUAUGUGCACGAUACUUUAUUAUCAUACUCAUGGCCUACGCUUCGAAUUUGCUUGCCUUUCGGUUAUUGAGUUGCCUUACAUUAUAUUUACGUUUAAUCUUGCUAUUAAAUAACGUAUAUCGUCGCUAGUCCGACUAGCCGAUUUCGCUAGUCUUCACUAAGCCAACCCGUCCAUGUACAACGCCUUUCUCGUGUUGUUCAAAGCGAAAAGAAACAGGAAAAAAAAAAAAAAUUAACGAAGGAGUAAAAAACGCUUACGAUAACAAAAUGUGGACAAAAAACGAUGAAAAAAAAAAAAAAAAAAUAUUCGUCUGAGAGAUGCAAGUCCGACCAACAUUACCGGCGAUAUAUAUUUGUAAACAUUUUUUGAAAAAUGAAAAAAGAUAGGUGGAGACGAUGGUAUCGAGAAAAAAAAAAGAAAAAAUAGAUCUUGCAGUGACUUCGCAUAACUCGCCACUUGGCAGUUCAUUUUAGCUUUAGGAUGAUUGUAUAUCUAUCCAUGCAAUACGGCGCUUGAUAGGUCAGCAAACACUUGAGUCACAUUUUUUGACGAUGAACUGCACACAUAUAUACAAUACAAAUUCUAAAAAAAAAAAAAAGAAAAAAAAAUGACUUCUUGUUGUUAUUCGAAUCAUUGGAAAUCCCCGGACAAAACCUAUAAGAUUGAGAAACCUGUUAAGAAAAUAUCGGAUACCGUCUAUUUCCGAUUUGAGUAGCGACAAGAAAUGUGAAUGUUUUUAUGAAUCGUAAUGUAAAUUUAACUUAUUUAAAAGAAUAUUUCCUAACAAUUUUUAAUUGUAUAUAUGAUAAUUUCUUAGCGUAACUUAUAUAAAUGUACUAUUAUACGAUUGUAAUAAUUGCAAGAUUAAAACAUGAAUAUUUUAUUUAUAUAGCAGAAUCAUUGGACGAAUGUUAUACGCAUAAAUCAUAAAAUCAGAAGGAAUGUUAAUCGGCGAUCUAUCCUUCGUGAAAUCAUGUAAAUUAUUAUAAUUAUUGUAAAAGAGAAAAGGAAAAGGUAAAAAUGGCAUGAUGAUUAUAUAGAAAAAAAAAGGAAAUGUGUUGUUUAAACUUUUACGACUCGCGAAACACGUCUUAAUAUUUAAGCAGCGUUAGCUUUCAAUGUAUAACACAGUUUUAAAAGGCACAGAAAGGAAUCGUAUAUAGUAUGUAUUUAAAAGGAAAAAAAUAUAUAUAUACAUAUACAUAAAUAUACAUAUAUAAUAAAUAAGGUAUUCUAUUAAUGUAUAAUAUAUUGAGAAGAUAUAAUUAUGCAUCUGAAGUUUAUAAAUUAUUAUCUAUAAUGACUGUUAUUCUAUGUUUAAUAGACUUGCCUAGAGCCUAUCUGACCUAAGGACCAAAGGCACAAUCACACACGCAUCAAAAUAAAACAUUAUGCUCCUA